rnacentral:rRNA from 1 species
AGAACUCCGCAGUUAAGCAUGCUUGGGCGAGAGUAGUACUAGGAUGGGUGACCUCCUGGGAAGUCCUCGUGUUGCCCCCC